CUGGCCGUGCACAGCCAGCAGGGUGGCUUUUUCAUCAAAUAGAUUCAAGAGCAACCUGAGAGCGGCAGGAGAAGGAAGACCCUCGUGACCACGUCAGAAGCAGAAAAGCUGAGGAAGCUGCAGUGCCAGCGCAGAAGAUGUGGGAAGAAAUAUCUACAAACAUUGGAGAUUUCCAUUCGCUUCUUUCUGACCCUUGUAGUUUCUUGACCCUAUAGUUCUGAAUCUGAGCUUGGGCCUCGCCUAGGAAGAGCCUCUGCAAACAAAGCCAAGGGUUUGCAGGCCUGCUGUCCCCUUCUUGAGCACUGGGGAGCCCUUGAGUACCGUGGAGGGAGUGAGGCUCCCGAUGGUUGGCACCAGCCGCCUGAUGUGGC
rnacentral:lncRNA from 1 species